UUAGGUUUCUAGGUGAAAAGGAGUCAGUUAUACGAAAUGCAUUCGUGUUUGGAGGAAAUAUGUCACUCUAUGGUCGCCGUAGAAGCAUUAUUUCAAAACGCACAAACGAGGGUCUCUGGUUGUGGCAGGUCUGCCUCUUCUCCCUCACUCGUGGAUUGUAAGACGUGGGAGUGCAGAGUGCAAGACAUCAGCGUCAUUGAGGUCUCUCUUACAGAAGCAUUACAGAUGUGCAGAAUUUCACACGCAUUGUGCAACUGAAGUCCAAGUUUAUGCCAGAACUUGACAUCUGCUCCAGGCUGUCUGCUGAGUGCCAUAGGAAGGGAGGAGAAACAAGACAUAAGAUUAAGGAGAUCAUGGCUGCCAUUGAUCGGAAUCCCAUCAUUGGCUCGUUGAGAGUUUGCCACCUGCAAGCACUUGUUGUGUACUUGAAGGCCCUGAGAAACUCAAAGGAAUACCUGAGCUGCCAGGACUGGUGUCAUCACUGAAAGCAGUCAUAAACAACAUGGCAGAUUCAUCUAUUUACUCCAGCCAAAGUGACUCACCACGCAC